AUGGCUCAGGAUGAACGCUGGCGGCGUGCCUAACACAUGCAAGUCGAACGAGCGAGAGAUGAAACCUAGUGAUUCUCGAGCGAGUGGCGGACGGGUGAGUAACGCGUGGGUAACCUGCCUUACAGAGGGGGAUAACAGUUUGAAAAGACUGCUAAUACCGCAUAAGCACACAGUACCGCAUGGUACAGGGUGAAAAGAUUUAUCACUGUAAGAUGGACCCGCGUCUGAUUAGCCAGUUGGCAGGGUAACGGCCUACCAAAGCGACGAUCAGUAGCCGACCUGAGAGGGUGAUCGGCCACAUUGGGACUGAGACACGGCCCAAACUCCUACGGGAGGCAGCAGUGGGGGAUAUUGCACAAUGGAGGAAACUCUGAUGCAGCCGACGCCGCGUGAGUGAAGAAGUAUUUCGGUAUGUAAAGCUCUAUCAGCAGGGAAGAUAAUGACAGUACCUGACCAAGAAGCCCCGGCUAACUACGUGCCAGCCGCGGC
rnacentral:rRNA from 1 species